rnacentral:rRNA from 1 species
AGAGAGAGACAUGCGCGCAUAUCAAUAAGCGGAGGAAAAGAAACUAACUAGGAUUCCCUCAGUAACGGCGAGUGAAGCGGGAAGAGCUCAAAUUUGAAAUCUUCAAGGUUUUACCUUGACGAAUUGUAGUUUAAAGAAGUGUUUUCUGUUGGAAUUUUAGUAAAAGUUCUUUGGAAAUAGGACAUCAAUAGAGGGUGAGAAUCCCGUAUUUGACUAUUCUUUCUAGCUUUGUGAUACACUUUCAAAGAGUCGGAUUGUUUGGGAAUGCAGUCCAAAAUGGGUGGUAAAUUUCAUCUAAAGCUAAAUAUUGGCGAGAGACCGAUAGCGAACAAGUACCGUGAGGGAAGGAUGAAAAGAACUUUGAAAAGAGAGUUAAACAGUACGUGAAAUUGUCAAAAGGGAAGCGUUUGACACCAGUGUUGUUUUUCUCGAAAAUCAAUUAAAAAUGGGAUUCAUGCUAGGUAGUAUUGACUUCAUCAGCUUUCUGCACUUAUUUUUGGUUCUUUUUUAAUGCACUUUUCGUUUAACAAGUCAACAUCAAUUUCUUUUGCUGUAAAAGAGUAAUAGGAAGGUGGCUUUCACUUCGGUGAAAGUGUUUAUAGCCUUUGAUCUCUGCAAUCGGAGAGAUUGAGGUCUGCAGCGUAGAUCCUUCGGGGCUAGAUACAUUUGUGCUAAGUUAUAGCUUUUUAUAGACAACUUGUUGACUAUGUUUAGUCUUGUAGCUUACUCGCUUACGCUAUUUUACCUACGCUUAGGAUGUUGACAGCAGUAUAGACUGU